rnacentral:rRNA from 1 species
AUUGAACGCUGGCGGCAUGCUUUACACAUGCAAGUCGAACGGUAACAGGCCUUCGGGUGCUGACGAGUGGCGAACGGGUGAGUAAUGCAUCGGAACGUGCCCAGUGGUGGGGGAUAACGAAUCGAAAGCGGUGCUAAUACCGCAUGUGAUCUGAGGAUGAAAGCGGGGGACCAGACAGCAAUGUUUGGCUUCGCGCCUUUGGAGCGGCCGAUGUCAGAUUAGGUAGUUGGUGGGGUAAAGGCCUACCAAGCCGACGAUCUGUAGCUGGUCUGAGAGGACGACCAGCCACACUGGGACUGAGACACGGCCCAGACUCCUACGGGAGGCAGCAGUGGGGAAUUUUGGACAAUGGGCGCAAGCCUGAUCCAGCAAUGCCGCGUGCAGGAAGAAGGCCUUCGGGUUGUAAACCGCUUUUGUACGGAACGAAAAGGCUCUGGCUAAUACCUGGGGCUGAUGACGGUACCGUAAGAAUAAGCACCGGCUAACUACGUG